AUACUUACCUGGCAGGGGAGAUACCAUGAUCACGAAGAUGGUUUUCCCAGGGUGAGGCUUAUCCAUAUCUCUCUGGAUGUGCUGACCCCUGCGAUUUCCCCAAAUGUGGGAAACUCGACUGCAUGAUUUGUGGUAGUGGGGGACUGUGUUCAUGCUUUCCCCGG
rnacentral:snRNA from 1 species